UACGAAGGGGGCUAGCGUUGCUCGGAAUUACUGGGCGUAAAGGGCGCGUAGGCGGAUAGUUUAGUCAGAGGUGAAAGCCCAGGGCUCAACCUUGGAACUGCCUUUGAUACUGGCUAUCUUGAGUUCGGGAGAGGUGAGUGGAAUGCCGAGUGUAGAGGUGAAAUUCGUAGAUAUUCGGCGGAACACCAGUGGCGAAGGCGACUCACUGGCCCGAUACUGACGCUGAGGCGCGAAAGCUAGGGGAGCAAACGGG
rnacentral:rRNA from 1 species